rnacentral:rRNA from 1 species
CACCGCCCGUCACGCCAUGGGAGCUGCGAGCGCCCGAAGUCCGCGUAGGAACCCUCACGGGGCCGAGCGGCCGAAGGCGAGCGCAGUGACUGGGGCG